UGCGCUUCGGCUGUUGCGUUGCACUUUGUCCCUCUCGUCAAAGUGUUCCUCCAUGUCGUCCAGUCAAAUUAGGUCUAAAGCUGACUAUUUAGUGAAU